rnacentral:lncRNA from 1 species
AAAUACAUAUUUAUGUUUUCUUAUGCACGGGUAAAUUGCUCUGUUCAUAUAUAAAAAAAUAACUGUAGUAUUAUUGCUUAUAUUGAUUUUAAAUGAUGACCUUAUUAGAUGUGCCAUCGAGACCACAUAUAUUAGCAUUUUGUGACUAGAAAUACAAUGCAUGAAUAUAUAUAGAUAACCUUUACAUCGUGCUACAUGCUUUCGGGAAAUAAGGAACCAUUACAACAUAUAUAUUUUUAUGAUGUACAAUUUCGUCAUCGGAUAUACCAUGUGCAUAUGUGCAGUAACCCAUUAUGCUUUUGUUUGUGUAUACAACAAGUUACGCAUCAACAUACAUGGACAAAAUCAAACAAGAUAAUAAACCGUUUUGUCAUAAAUUAUUCUUCAGAAUAAAAAAUGUUUAAGAACUGUAUAAGCACACCUACAAUUAGCAACCUCUGAAGAUUUGUAUGAACUAAUAUUUAUGUGUAACCAUGACAACAUCACACGUUAGACCCUUGAAAGAAGCCAUAUCAUGUUUCCAAAUAUUAGGCUAAAUGUCUGAAUAAAAGAAGAAAAAACACUAGGUGCAGUUUUUGCUAAGAUAGUGCCGACGAGGAAACAACAGACACAUUGUAAGUGAUUCUUGCAGUACCAAUAUUCCCAUGAACUUAUUACUAAAGAAGAUGUCUUUGUGAUGGUACAUUUGUCCAUAUUUCUUAAUCAUAUAUAUGGCACACUAUACAUUUUCCCUCCCGGUGUUUUGGAAUCCUUAUUUGUGGUACUAAUAAGUAGCAUUCUAAUCUGCGUAUGGUUGUUUUGUUACAAAGUCAUAUUCUGUCACUAUAAUUUAUUAGAGAGAAAAAUGUUUGGUUGCACAAUUACAAGCUUGCUUUGUUUGAUUCUAUUCUACCUGCAGCGCAGCCACAUGGGCCCAGCAAUAGCAGCGUCACAUGGUGGUGGCCAUCGUCACGUCGAGCUAGAGAUGUCAAUGGGUAAUUCCCCAUCGGGUUAUAGCAUCCCAGACCCAUCCCCAUCAUGUUUGAUACAUCCCCAUACCCAUACCCAUACCCAUCAUGGGUACAAAACUCAUCCCAUACCCAUCUCCAUUCGGGUUUCGGGUCCCCAAUGGGUCCCCAUCCCCAAUUAAGGAAUAACUAGGUACUAACAUCUAGCACAAACUAUCCAGAUUUCAUACAUCACCACAUCGGCAAGCACUCAUCCACGAACUAUUGUCCAUUCAUCCAUUCAUCAGAAGAGAAAUCAGUACUUGGGACCAAUAUAAGAAAUGGAGUCUGCCGGGUUUGAUGGCCGACUCGGCCUCAACUCAUUCAUACAAACAGGACAUGUGUACGCAUAUGAAAUAACCAUGGGUAAUCGGGUUCGGAUUAUUGCUUCCCAAACCCAUACCCGUUUACCCAAUGGGUGGAGAUUUUGUCCCAUAUCCAUACCCAUGGGGACAAUUUUUGUCCCAUACCCGUACCCUAAUAGGGGAAUUCCCCAUGGGUUAUCGGGUAUCGGGUCCCCAUUGACAUCUCUACGUCGAGCUCUCCCUCUCCACCAACUAACAGUUCCUGACAGUGGAGCAGAAAUUCAUUAAGAGCAUAUAGGGAUUCACAAGUGGUACAUGUAUUCUGCCUAUCUUUAUUUCUUAGUAUUAUAUAAACUACAUACUGUAUUUGGAGAUGCAUUGUUUAUUCUCUGCAAUCGGUUAACCCUGGACUGCUUGCAACUAUCCCCAGUUACGAAAUAGUGCUUCUUUUCUGUCAUAACUUUUCAGGCGUCCAUAGUAAAUGAAAUUGGUGCAUAUAUUUGAGUUGACUAACAAUGCGAUAACUAACAUGUGAUUUGUCGAUUUUCCUUUUUACUGCUAGAUUUUGAGCCCAACAAUCUCGCUGCCACCGAUACUCCUGGUUCGUAUAUUUGGUUACUCAAAACAUGAGAUGAUCCUCUGAAGUAGAAAGGGAAACACUGAAUACGCUCUUGCUGAAAUAUUCUAUAGAAAGACACAAUUCCAUUUUGGCAGAUGCAAGUGAAAGAUCUACAGGGAAGGUAUCUUUUGUUCUUAUAUUUUGGUUGCUUAACAAAUACCUUACGUAGAAACUAUAAUCUUCUCUCUAAUCAUAUCUUAGUGGAAAGUUUAUUCUUCCAUUGAACAUCCCACUGAGUGUAAUACAUAUGCAGAAAUUGGGGUAGCAUAUAACCGCCGCAAGGGAAAAUAUGGUGUAGCAGAUGAGGAUAUAAUCUUAUAUGGUCAAUGUGUUUGAAUUGGUCCAACCAUUGAUAUUGCUUCACGGUUGCUAGACUUGAGAGUCGCGGUUUUGCAUAGUCCUAUAUUUUAUCUGCACUAAGAGUAAUAUAUACAGCCAAGCAGACGUUUGGUUUAACAUUUACAAGGUAUGUUUGGUACUUUUGUUUUUUUGGAAUUAAUGGUUGUCCGAUGCUUGUCAUUCAUAUGAGUUCUAAUAUCAUGCCCCCUUAAAGUACUCAUCAUCAAAAGUUUCCAUGUGAAUGUUUUAAAUGUAUAUUUAAAGGGUUGGAAGACAUCAGACUGUUAUUCAAACAGGAUCUUAAGUGUCGUGAAAGACUACAAGUGAGGUUCAACUUGGCAAAUUAUUUUUCCAGUAACUAAGGAGCAACAAUUUUAUGUAUUUUAGCUUGACAUAUGAAUCUAGGUACUUACAUUUUUGGAAUCGGGCAAACAGUGAUAGUUUGAAUCACAUGUUUUGCCAAAAGGAAUUAUUAGAACUGUUCAAAGUUGGAAAAAAUACAUAUUUAUGUUUUCUUAUGCAUGGAUAAAUUGCUCUGUUCAUAUAUAAAAAAAUAACUGUAGUAUUAUUGCUUAUAUUGAUUUUAAAUGAUGACCUUAUUAGAUGUGCCAUCGAGACCACAUAUAUUAGCAUUUUGUAACUAAAAAUACAAUGCAUGAAUAUAUAUAGAUAACCUUUACAUCGUGCUACAUGCUUUCGGGAAAUAAGGAACCAUUACAACAUAUAUAUUUUUGAUGAUGUACA